rnacentral:rRNA from 1 species
CAGUCGCCGCGGUAACACCGAGGGUGCAAGCGUUAAUCGGAAUUACUGGGCGUAAAGCGCGCGUAGGUGGUUUGUUAAGUUGGAUGUGAAAUCCCCGGGCUCAACCUGGGAACUGCAUCCAAAACUGGCAAGCUAGAGUAUGGUAGAGGGUGGUGGAAUUUCCUGUGUAGCGGUGAAAUGCGUAGAUAUAGGAAGGAACACCAGUGGCGAAGGCGACCACCUGGACUGAUACUGACACUGAGGUGCGAAAGCGUGGGGAGCAAACAGGAUUAGAUACCCCAGUAGUCCCUGUCUCUUAUAA